rnacentral:rRNA from 1 species
GACGAACGCUGGCGGCGUGCCUAAUACAUGCAAGUAGAACGCUGAAGGAGGAGCUUGCUUCUCUGGAUGAGUUGCGAACGGGUGAGUAACGCGUAGGUAACCUGCCUGGUAGCGGGGGAUAACUAUUGGAAACGAUAGCUAAUACCGCAUAAGAGUAGAUGUUGCAUGACAUUUACUUAAAAGGUGCAAUUGCAUCACUACCAGAUGGACCUGCGUUGUAUUAGCUAGUUGGUGAGGUAACGGCUCACCAAGGCAACGAUACAUAGCCGACCUGAGAGGGUGAUCGGCCACACUGGGACUGAGACACGGCCCAGACUCCUACGGGAGGCAGCAGUAGGGAAUCUUCGGCAAUGGACGGAAGUCUGACCGAGCAACGCCGCGUGAGUGAAGAAGGUUUUCGGAUCGUAAAGCUCUGUUGUAAGAGAAGAACGAGUGUGAGAGUGGAAAGUUCACACUGUGACGGUAUCUUACCAGAAAGGGACGGCUAACUACG